AGAAUUAUCGAUAACAGUGUAGUGGUGAAAACAAUUCAAUGUUGAACUUUAAUUACAUUUAGUACAAUUUAUAUUGAAUAGAAAUGAAAUAAAACACAAGUUUUGAUUUUUUUUAAUUUAAUUAACGUAAUGAAUAUGCCAAACUGUGUUACAAUACAAAAUAUAUACUUUUUCAAUUAAAUUUUUUUCCUUAAUAGCUAUCUGUGAUAAUUGCUGCUGAUUGUAGGUCACUUCAAGUAGCUUGUGUUAUAAAGAGGUGUGUAAUGCAGUGUAGAAAGUCCCGCCAAAAACGUUAUGAUCCGUUACAAAUAAAUGUUAUUUAAUGUAGUGUUAUGUUUUAUAUAAUAAAGUGUAGAAAAGUUCAUCGUGAAAACAUGCUUUCAUGAAAAGCGAAAUAAAUUAAGCGGUGUCGUUGUUUCGUCUCUUAUUGUUUGGCAAUUAGAAUAUUCUGCGGUGUGUCCUACUUAGAAAUCGGAAUGUGGAACUUUGGUUUACAUUUUGGGAAUGUCGAAAGAGCUCAUUUCUCACUGAGGCUGGAAAUUUAGAAAUUGCUUAGGAAGGAGCUGUCGUUUGAGCGGUGUGAAAUUGCGUCUACUGUUAAAAAGACCACACCGUUGAGGGAAUAUCUGGCGUUAAUUUACAAUGCAUAAGGGCAGCACAGAAAAGCGCAAUGAACAGCUGAAGCAAAAUGGCUGGGUCAGAAAGUCGUACUGCUCUUGGCAGUAACAACACACCACUUCCGAAGCGCCCACAAAACAGGUGUCGUAACCUGGUGUGUUGUCAACAGACCCCAGCAAACAAGAUGAUAUUUACUAAUUCAAAUUUACAAUAAAUACAACAACAACACAUACGUACAAAACUGCUCUAGUUUUCCUAUUGAGCUCUCCACUUCACUGGGUGCAAAAAGCAAAUUUCUAAUCCAUUUUCGGAGGUGAACAAAAUAAAUGGAUGAGUUCAGCGAAUGGUGGUGCCGCCCUUGGCUCUCUGCAAAGAAAAGGUGUAAACAAGCAUAUUACAAGAAAAACAAAAAAAAAAAUACAUAAAUAAAAUCAACAUUUUGGAAAUUUUCAAAUUGAAGGAAAGCGGCGCUUCACUAACCCUGAUUGCCCUCUCUGAGGUCUACGAACCUUUUUUCUAUUGAAAGGUGCAAUGGCAAGCAAUUAUUUGUUGUUGUUAUUAUUGUAUCUAUCUACAAUAUACAUUCCAUAUAAUAUAAUAUGAGUAUAAAAACUAUAGGGUUGCCAAGUUGCACAGUUUAUAUGUUUAUUUAUGGCUAGAACUUUAAAUGGUACACAGAAAAAAUGCUUUGGAAAAAAUUUAAGCUAUUUAUGAAUAGUUCAUCAGUGUAACAAUAGGGUUGCCUACAUUUAACAUUUCAAUAUUUAUUUAACAAUUCUUUCUCAGCAACAUUUUGCAAAAAAUUUAAGCAAUUUAUACAACGAGUAUAAACAUAAUAAAUGCAGGGUUGCCAACCAAAUUAUCAAAGUUAAGAAAUACUCCCUUCAGCAAAAAUUUUAAAAUUGUGUGCGAAGCUUCAUUUCAUAUUUAUUAUGAAGUUAUCGAAGAAAAGCUAGGAUGACGAAACGAGUUGAAAUCCGGAUGUCUGUCCGGAUAACUUUAGUACCUUCCUUGGCACCCUGAAGAGGUUGGUAUUGAAAAAGGGCGAAAUCGGAUCACUGUCACGUCCACAAAAUGGCACAAAAAUCGAAAACACAUAAAGAGUCAUAACUGUGCCAUAAAUAGUAAUUGUAAAAGUAAAAUUUGUUAAUAAGGAUCGCACUAGGCCGGGCAUAUUUGGGUUUAAUUAUUUUGGGGAAGUACAUGUAGUCCCGCCCUCACAUAAGUCUCUCAAACCAAUACAGUUAUAUAAACCAAACUUUCUGCAGUCGGUUCUCUUACGUGCCCCACCACACGCCAUGAAAAUAGUUGAAAUCGGAUAAUAACCACGCCCACCUCCCAUACAAAGGUUAGGGUGAAAAUUACUAAAAGUGAGUUAACUGACUAACGAAAAACGUCAGAAACACUAAAUUUUACAGAAGAAAUGGCAGAUGGAAGCUGCAAUCAGGCUUUUUUAAAAAAUGGAAAAUGGGCGUGGCAUCGCCCACUUAUGGGUCAAAAACCAUAUCUCAGGAACUACUCGACCGAUUCGAAUGAAAUUCGGUAUAUACUAUUUUCUUGACACCCUGAUGACACGUGUGGAAAAUGGAAUGGAAUGAAAUCGGUUCACAACCACGACAACUUCCCAUGUAUAUCAAUUUGGAACUCCAUCUCAUUCCUUCACUUUAUAAUAUAUAGAUAAGGAACCAAUGAAGAUAGCGAAAUAAAACUUUACACAAAUACUGUAUAUGAUCUGUGGCAUCACUUGUGAAAAAAUUGUCGAAAUCGGACUAUGACUUUUCAAGACCCCGGAUAUCGAACAUGAAGAACUCGGUGCCUUCGGGUAAUUUUUCACCGAAAAUAUCGUUAAAUCUCUCAGAUAUCUUAAUUUAAUUCAAAGGGGUUUUUUUUCUUCUAAUAGUGUGUCUCUGUACAAAAAAUGGUUAUAAUCGAGUCCUAACUUCCCCUAGCUACCAUAUACUUUUCAGAUUAUCAAACUUCCGAUGGGCUUUAUAUCGCAUAUAUCGGCUAAUAUGUGAGAUAUCUUAGCAAAAUUAAGUGAGCGUAUUGUCUGGGCUAUAGGUGGUGUAAAUGAGUGAUAUCGGUUCAGAAAUUACCUCAGCCCUCAUAUAGUAUAUAUGAUGAUUUUCGUUAUUCUAUUGUACUUUAUGCCGAAUAUAUGGGCCAAAUUGUGUGUUAUCUUAACAAAAUGAAAUACAAAAUUGCGAGAGUCCGGUUGUACCCAAACUUAGUCUUUCCUUACUUGUUCCCUUCUAAUAUUAUAUAAAUUAAAAAGAACUCUUCUGCCCUUCACACACAACUGUUGAUGUUAGAAAUGGAUGUAGAAAGUUUCUAAAAAUUUUGUAUUUCAGCCUCACCUAUAGGCUUUAAGCCAAUUGCAACAGAUUUGGAAUUCAGCUAUUCAGCAGCGUCAAAAAUGGAUUUUUUUAAAUCUAGUUUCAUUGCGCUGCUGAAUGACAGAAUUUGCUGAAUUUUAAAUCCGAAUAUGUAUAUGGGUGAAUACCCCAUGUGAUGAGCUUAAUUAUGAAAUAUUUUUCAAAAUCCCGUACCGCUUCCUUACCCCUAAAUUUUACUAAAGAAGAAGAGUGUAAGCACUUUACAUACAAAAAUAGACAGGCAGUAGAAGAGAAUCUUUAAACAAUUUGUGUUUAAGUUGUAAAGACGGAUUUUAUGCCUAUGGUCUUAGGUGAAAAUUUGAAUUCAGCUAUUCAGCAGCAGCUUGAUAGUGAUCAAUUUAGAUGUGGUAUAUUGAUAUUAAAUUUAAUGAAAUUAUAAAUGAAAUUAAUCGCUGCGCGCCAAAAAAAUUCAUAUCAAAAUUUUUUUCAGAAAACAUUUUUUACCACCAAUUUCCUACCCAUAUGCUGAAUUGGUACUAUAAUAGUAUUCAUGGAAGUCCUCAUGUGCAUUGUGUAAUCAAAUAUUUUGUUUACUUUUGCAUCGCAUGUGCCUAAGCACGCAUUGCAGCAAAUUAGUGCAUUCAGAGCGUUAUCUCCAAUAUAGACAAAAACCCGACAAAAGAAAACAAAAACAAA